rnacentral:rRNA from 1 species
AAUCGAAGCAGUGAACUUAAGCCCCAGUAAACGGCGGCCGUAACUAUAACGGUCCUAAGGUAGCGAAAUUCCUUGUCGGGUAAGUUCCGACCCGCACGAAAGGCGUAACGAUUUGGGCACUGUCCCAACAACAGACUCGGUGAAAUUGUAAUUCCGGUGAAGAUGCCGGAUACCUGCGACAGGACGGAAAGACCCCAUGGAGCUUUACUGUAGCUUGACAUUGGGUCUUGGUACUACAUGUACAGGAUAGGUGGGAGGCUUUGAAACCAGGACGCCAGUUUUGGCGGAGCCAUCCUUGGGAUACCACCCUUGUAGUACUGGGACUCUAACCAUAGGCCAUGAAUCUGGUCUUGGGACACUGUCAGGUGGGCAGUUUGACUGGGGCGGUCGCCUCCCAAAAGG